CAUAUUGGGAUGAAGAAAUUUCAAAUCACUGCUGUCAAAUGUAGCUUCGGUUUGCUACGGUAGUUCUCGUCAGUUCUCUAUUACAUCUUCGAUAGUGAGCACCAAAAUUUUCGGUGGUUACAAGUUUCCUUUGGAUCCCGGUUGUCAAGAAUUGCCCUAAAAUUAAAAUCAUGUACAUGUACGUCAACCCGAAUUACGUCUUGGUUGGGGGCCCCUGCUGCGGUGGAUGUGGUCCCUGUGGCGGUGGCUGUGGUCCAUGCUGUGGUCCUUGUGGUGGAUGUGGCCCCUGCUGUGGGCCUUGCGGAGGAUGUGGACCUUGCUGUGGCGGCACCAGCAUUUUUUGUGGCUGCGGUCCCUGCUGCUGAUCGAGAUAACCGGGAAACCUACGGCACAACUUGAGGCUGCCAUGUAAAUCUCGAAAAUAAAACUGGGGAAAUUAAA